UACGGAGGAGGCAAGCGUUAUCCGGAAUUAUUGGGCGUAAAGCGUCCGUAGAUGGUUUUGUCAGUCUGCUGUCAAAGCACAGGGCUUAACCCUGUAAAGGCAGUGGAAACUACAAGACUAGAGUGCAGUAGGGGCAGAGGGAAUUCCCAGUGUAGCGGUGAAAUGCGUAGAGAUUGGGAAGAACACCGGUGGCGAAGGCGGCUCUCUGGACCGAUACUGACGCUGAGGCGCGAAAGCGUGGGGAGCAAACAGG
rnacentral:rRNA from 1 species